CGGUGUUCAACUGGCGUGUCCGCGGGACGUCCUGCCGGUGGGCUUAGCCCGCAAGGGCGGCCCAACUUCAAAUCCCAUCGCGGUGCUCUUCACUGAGUGUCGAGGUGGGCCGGCACGUUUACUUUGAACAAAUUAGAGUGCUUAAAGCAGGCUAAAACUUCGCCUGAAUACUGUGUGCAUGGAAUAAUGGAAUAGGACCUCGGUUCUAUUUUGUUGGUUUUCGGAACCCCGAGGUAAUGAUUAAUAGGAACGGAUGGGGGCAUUCGUAUUGCGACGUUAGAGGUGAAAUUCUUGGAUCGUCGCAAGACGGACAGAAGCGAAAGCAUUUGCCAAAAACGCUUUCAUUGAUCAAGAACGAAGGUUAGAGGUUCGAAGGCGAUCAGAUACCGCCCUAGUUCUAACCAUAAACGAUGCCAGCUAGCGAUCCGUCGACGUUCCUCCGAUGACUCGACGGGCAGCUUCCGGGAAACCAAAGCUUUUGGGUUCCGGGGGAAGUAUGGUUGCAAAGCUGAAACUUAAAGGAAUUGACGGAAGGGCACCGCCAGGAGUGGAGCCUGCGGCUUAAUUUGACUCAACACGGGAAACCUCACCAGGCCCGGACACCGGAAGGAUUGACAGAUUGAGAGCUCUUUCUUGAUUCGGUGGGUGGUGGUGCAUGGCCGUUCUUAGUUGGUGGAGCGAUUUGUCUGGUUAAUUCCGAUAACGAACGAGACUCUAGCCUGCUAACUAGGCGUAUUUUCGACAUCUCAAAGGUCCGUCGUCCCGGCCCUCGGGUCGUGGGCGUGCGCGAUUUUUACUGUCGGCGUACUAUCAAUUCUUCUUAGAGGGACAGGUGGCUUCUAGCCGCACGAGAUUGAGCAAUAACAGGUCUGUGAUG
rnacentral:rRNA from 1 species